AUUGAACGCUGGCGGCAGGCCUAACACAUGCAAGUCGAACGAGUGGCGGACGGGUGAGUAAUGUCUGGGAAACUGCCUGAUGGAGGGGGAUAACUACUGGAAACGGUAGCUAAUACCGCAUACCAUCGGAUGUGCCCAGAUGGGAGUAGCUAGUAGGGGGGGUAACGGCUCACCUAGGCGACGAUCCCUAGCUGGUCUGAGAGGAUGACCAGCCACACGAGAACUGGGACACGGUCCAGACGCCGACGGGAGGCAGCAGUGGGGAAUAUUGCACAAUGGGCGCAAGCCUGCUGCAGCCAUGCCGCGUGUAUGAAGAAGGCCUUCGGGUUGUAAAGCACUUUCAGCGGGGAGGCGUUACCCGCAGAAGAAGCACCGGCUAACGCCGUGCCAGCAGCCGCGGUAAUUC
rnacentral:rRNA from 1 species